AUUAAGUUCUUUUUCUAGUCCCUGGCAUAGUCCCUGAAAUUGUUUUAUGGAAAUGGAGUAAUCACCAACACCUAUUUGAUUACAGACACGUGCUAUAGUCUGAAUGUUUGUCUCCCCUCAAAAUUCAUGUAUUGAAAUCCUAACUGCCAACCUGAUAGUAUUAGGAGUUGUGGCCUUUAGGGAGGUGAUUAGGUCAUGAAAGCAGAACCAUCAAUAAUGAGAUUAGUGCCCUCAUAAAACAAGCCCAAGGAAGAACAUUCAUCCCUUUUACCAUGUGAGGACACAGCAAGAAGUUGGCAGUCUGCAAUCCAGAAGAGGGUUUUCACCAGAAUCCGAACAUACUGGCACCCUGAUCUUGGACUUCUUAGCUUCCAGAACUCAACAUGGAUGGAACUGGAGACCAUUAUCCUGAGAUAACUCAGAAACAGAAAGUCAAAUACUGCAUGUUCUCACUUAUAAGUGGAAGCUAAGUAAUGGGUGCACAUGGAUAUACAGAGUGAAAUAAUACACAUUGGAGACUACAAAAAGGUGCACAGCUGGAUGGCUUCUGUUCUAGAGGCAGCCUAAGGUCCUGGAAUUUCAACAAAGUAUACUUCAAGCAAGAAGCAUUGGAUUCAAAGUGGAAUCUAGAAAGACUUCCAACCAGGUGGUGUUCCCAGAUGGAACAAUGCUUUAUUAGCAUCAUUAACAAAAAUACCAUGAUUGAAAAGGAGUUCUCUGGAUUUCCUGUAUCUGCAUGUCAACCCAUCUAGUGAGAUUGGAGACAUUUUCCUGGAUUAUACCCUCGAAUAUGUUUUCCAAGAUGCAUACUUUCUCUUCUUUCUAAAAAGUGCCAAUGAAUCAUAGGUUUGGUCACUUUGCAUAAUUCCGUAUUUCUCAUGGUUUUAUUCAUUUUUCUAAAUUCUUUUUUCUUUAUUGUUGCCUGACUAGGUUGAUUCAAAAGACCAGUCUUCAGGCUCUGAAAUUCAUUCCUCUGCUUUGUCUAGUCUGUUAUCAAGGCUUCCAAUUAUAUUUUAAAUUUUCUGGAGUGAAUUUUGCAAAGGAAUGAAGACUCCUAUCAGACAAAACUGUGUAUAAAUAAAUUCUGGCUCUGCAUUACCAGUUGUAUGACCUUAAAGAAGAUACCUGAUCUCUUUUUGCCGCAAAUUUUAUAUCUGUAAAAUACAUUUACUGAUAGUACUAAUCAUUAAAUUAUGAAAAUUUAAACUUGUUAUAUAAAAUAUAUAGCUUGAUGUCUUUAUAGGCUGGAUUGUGCCUCUCCAUCAAAUUCAUAUGUUGACAGCUUAGCCCCAGUACCUCAGAAUGUGACUGUAUUUGCAGACAGCCUUUAAAGAAGUGGCUAAGUUAAAACACGGCUGUCAGACUGGGCUCUAAUCCAAUCUGAUUGGUGUCCUUAUAAAAAGAAACUUGGACACACAGAAAGAAACCAGGGAUGUGCUUACACAGAGGGCAGACCAUAUGAGGACACAAUGAGACUCAAGUAGCCAUCUGCAAGCCAAGAAGAGAAGCCUCAGGAAAAAUCAAACCUGACAACACCUUCAUUUUGGUUUUGUCACCUCCAGAGCUUUGAGCAAAUGAAUUUCUGUUGUUGAAACCACCUCCUCUGUGGUCUUUUGUUAUGGCAGCACUAGCAAACUAAUAAAAGUUCCAACACCUAAUAAAUGUUUGAUCACAGUUAGCAAAUGUUGUUAUCAUGGCGAUGAUGACUAAAGCUUCCUGUAAACCUGUGAUAUCCAGGAAGGCAACAACUGCUCACAUGUGUGUAUUGAGUACUCAAAACAUGGUUAGGCCAAACUGUGAUGUACUUUAUGCAUAAAAUGAACAUAGGAUUUCAAAGAUUUGCUACAAAAAUAUAAAUAUUUCCACUAAUAACUUUUUUAGUAUUGAUUGCUGUUAAAAUGAUAUUUUACAUAUAUUGAGUUAAAUCAAAUAUAUGAUUAAAGCAAACUCCACAUGUUUCUUCUUCCUUUUUUAAUGGGGCUAAUAGUAAAUUUAAAAUUGCCUAUGUGGCUGGAAUCAUAUUUUAGAGCAGUGCUGCUCUAAAGCCUUCAAUGGGAACUGACCACCACAGCUCCAAGCUUGCCUUCUAAGGCCAACAGCAGUGUUCUUUCCACUGCCAAUUCCUAGAAAAUCUCCUUCUAGUACCAAAGUGUAGUGAAAGAAGCAGAAGGUUUAGAGUCCAACACACCUGGAGUUGAAAGCCUACUUCACCCCUUACUUGGCCUGUGACCUGGAACUUCUCUGAACCUACUGGCUUCUCCCCUGCAAAAUGGGAAUAAUCAACACUAGCUCAAAGGCAAUACACAUAUAAAGUGCUUACCAUUGUCCCUAGCACACAGAAAGUGCAUGCUAUAAACUGAAUAUUUGUGUCCCCAAAAUCAUAUGUUGAAAUUCUCACCCCAAUCUGAUGGUACUUGGAGGUGGGGCAUUUGGGAGAUGAUUAAGUCAUGAGGCAAGGCCUUUAAAAAUGAGCUCACUGCCCUUAUAAAAAGCCCUGGAGAGCUCCCUUGUCCCUUCUGUCACAUGAGGUUACACAAAAUGGUACCAUCUGUGAACCAGGGAGUGGGCCUUUUCCAGACUCCAAAUCUGCUGGUGCUUUAGCUUGGACUUCCCAGCCCCCACAGCUGUGAGAAAUAAAUUUCUGUUGUUUAUUAGCCACCCAGACCAUGGUGUUUUUGUUAUAGAAGCCUAAACGGGCUAAGACAGUGAACAAUAAACGUUGGCUUUUACUGUUAACUUCGUGAGACAUGAAGGGUCUCUUCACCCUCUGAGGAGAUGUGACAGGUAAAGGUUUCCAACGGGCCGGGCAUGGUGGCUCACGCCUGUAAUCCCAGCACUUUGGGAGGCCAAGGCGGGUGGAUCACGAGGGCAGGAGAUCGAGACUAUCCUGGCUAACAUGGUGAAACCCCGUCUCUACUGAAAAUACAAAAAAAAUUAGCCGGGCGUGGUGGCGGGGACCUGUAGUCC